rnacentral:rRNA from 1 species
GAUGAACGCUGGCGGCGUGCCUAAUACAUGCAAGUCGAGCGAACGGACGAGAAGCUUGCUUUUCUGAUGUUAGCGGCGGACGGGUGAAUAACACGUGGAUAACCUACCUAUAAGACUGGGAUAACUUCGGGAAACCGGAGCUAAUACCGGAUAAUAUUUUGAACCGCAUGGUUCAAAAGUGAAAGACGGUCUUGCUGUCACUUAUAGAUGGAUCCGCGCUGCAUUAGCUAGUUGGUAAGGUAACGGCUUACCAAGGCAACGAUGCAUAGCCGACCUGAGAGGGUGAUCGGCCACACUGGAACUGAGACACGGUCCAGACUCCUACGGGAGGCGGCAGUAGGGAAUCUUCCGCAAUGGGCGAAAGCCUGACGGAGCAACGCCGCGUGAGUGAUGAAGGUCUUCGGAUCGUAAAACUCUGUUAUUAGGGAAGAACAUAUGUGUAAGUAACUGUGCACAUCUUGACGGUACCUAAUCAGAAAGCCACGGCUAACUACGUG